rnacentral:tRNA from 1 species
AGGAUUUAGGUUAAUAAAGACCAAGAGCCUUCAAAGCCCUAAGUAAGUUACCAACACUUAAUCCCUG